rnacentral:rRNA from 1 species
CAGGAUGAACGCUAGCGAUAGGUUAACACAUGCAAGUCGAGGGGCAGCACGGUGUAGCAAUACACUGGUGGCGACCGGCGUACGGGUGCGUAACACGUAUGCAACCUACCCGCUAUUGGGGGGAUAACCCGGCGAAAGUCGGACUAAUACCCCAUAUUAUUCUUACCGGGCAUCCGGUAGGUCUGAAAGAUUUAUCGAUUGCGGAUGGGCAUGCGGAUGAUUAGGCUAGUAGGUGGGGUAACGGCUCACCUAGGCGACGAUCAUUAGGGGUUCUGAGAGGAAGGUCCCCCACACUGGAACUGAGACACGGUCCAGACUCCUACGGGAGGCAGCAGUGAGGAAUAUUGGUCAAUGGGCGCUAGCCUGAACCAGCUAAGUCGCGUGAAGGAUGACAGAAUCUAUGGUUUGUAAACUUCUUUUGCAGGGGAGUAAAGUGCAUCACGUGUGAUGUUUUGUAUGUACUCUGCGAAUAAGGAUCGGCUAACUCCGUGCCAGCAGCGGC